CGCCGCACUAGCCCCCGAGGCCGCCUGCGCCAUUUUGAAUAAGGUCACCACCCGGAGUUCGCUGGGAGAAAAACUUGGUGGGGAGACGCCCUUCCCCCCCUACGCGGGACGGGAAGGAUGCAACCUGCUGGAGGAACGCGUGUAAUGCGGUGGUAAUCGCGCUGCACCACCCUAGCACUUAAUAAUUGCCUGUUAAAUGGAUGAGUGAAUUAAUUUCUAUAGUGUUACAAUACUUUCACACCCAUCGUCUGACUCCUUCCGACAGCACAGCGAGGCAGAUUACUGGUGUUUCCUCAAGUGACCACUUGUGUCAUAAAAACUUGGAAAAUGGACUGACAUGCAGAUCCGUGGGCCACUCUCCAGCCCCACUGAAUCAGACACUUUGAGGUGGAUUUCAGACAGGGUCUCACUCUCUAACCCGGGCUGGAGUGCAGUGGCAUGAUCACUGCUCACUGCAGCCUCGACCUUCUAGGCUCAAGCGAUCCUCCCAAUGCAGCCUCCUGAGUAGCUGAGACUACAGCUGUGUAUUACCAUGCCUGGCUAAUUUUUUUAUUUUUUGUAGAGACAAGGUCUCUCUUUGUUGCCCGGGCUGGACUUGAACUCCUGGGCUCAAGCAAUCCUCCCGCCUCGGCCUUCCAAAGUGCUGGGAUUGGAGGCAAGAGCCACCACUCCUCGCCUGUAUGAUGAUUUUAAAGACAAAGAAACAGAAUUUAUUUCAUUUCUAUAAUCCUGUACGUGACCACAUUUAUUUGUAUUUAGCAUGUAAAACAGUGGGAAAGUGCAUAUUUUAAUUGAUAUAUGAAGUUGUUUUAUUGAAUUUCAAUAGUAUCUUUUAAAAUUGAUCUUUGUUUUAAAAUUGUUCAUUGUUUUAAAAGUAAAAAAAGAAUAAAAAGCACAUUAAAUUAGUGGGGUGCA